rnacentral:misc_RNA from 1 species
AUUUUUCACAAUGCCACAUUGCGCGAGGAAGAUGUGAAUUCACUGGAGCAAAUCUUCGUGGAGCUGUAUUAGCUGGUGCUAAUCUUCAAAGUGCAAAUUUACAAGAUGCUUGUCUAAUAGGCUGUAGCUUUUGUGGGGCGGAUCUUCUUCUGCUCACCUACAGACAGCUGAUCUUACCAAUGCCAACCUCGAAGGAGCUAAUCUUGAAGGUGCAAAUCUGAAGGGUGCGAAGUUAACCAAUGCAAAUCUGAAGGGUGCAAACCUUCAAAGAGCUUAUCUUCGGCAUGUGAAUCUUCGUGAUACACAUUUGGAGGGGGCGAAGCUUGAUGGUGCCAAUUUACUGGGUGCAAUCAGGUGACACACAGAUUUGUUCUCAUCCCAAACCUCUACAAAAAGGAUUUGUAUAGCAAUAGUAUCAAGCCUUACAUGUAUUGACCAACUAUUUUAGUUUAAUUUGGUGGUCUAAAUCUCAAUUUAAUUAUCUGCAUGUGUGUAAA